GCAGUGGUAGCUCUGUGGUUAAGGCUCCGGGCUACUGAUCGGAAGGUCCGGGGUUCAAAUGCCAGCACCACUGUG